CAGGCUCCAGAUCAUCAAUAUGAAGGAGUUCAGCAGCAAAUUGAACAGAUCCACAAGGUUCUACAGGAGCAGAGUAGACUGCUGACUCUACUAAGAACAGUGUCUUCUGAAGAUCUGAUGUUUCCUGCCUGUGGGCCCCUGCGGUGGAUUGGUGUGCUGCCUGUGAUGACUGCCACGAGUUCUGAGAAGCUCCCAGUUCUCCCACUGUCGUCUGCUCCUUCAGAUGGAAGGAGGCCCGAGGAUGGUCCUGUCUCCACAUGUCCCAGUCAGGAUGCAUUUAGAGCCAAAAAUGUGGCAGCAGAGCAGAGACACUUCUC